rnacentral:rRNA from 1 species
GAUGAACGCUGGCGGCGUGCUUAACACAUGCAAGUCGAACGGAAAGGCCCAAGCUUGCUUGGGUACUCGAGUGGCGAACGGGUGAGUAACACGUGGGUGAUCUGCCCUGCACUUCGGGAUAAGCCUGGGAAACUGGGUCUAAUACCGGAUAGGACGAUGGUUUGGAUGCCAUUGUGGAAAGUUUUUUCGGUGUGGGAUGAGCUCGCGGCCUAUCAGCUUGUUGGUGGGGUAAUGGCCUACCAAGGCGUCGACGGGUAGCCGGCCUGAGAGGGUGUACGGCCACAUUGGGACUGAGAUACGGCCCAGACUCCUACGGGAGGCAGCAGUGGGGAAUAUUGCACAAUGGGCGCAAGCCUGAUGCAGCGAGGCCGCGUGGGGGAUGACGGCCUUCGGGUUGUAAACUCCUUUCGCUAGGGACGAAGCGUUUUUGUGACGGUACCUGGAGAAGAAGCACCGGCUAACUACGCG